CCUACGGGUGGCAGCAGUGGGGAAUAUUGGACAAUGGGCGAAAGCCUGAUCCAGCCAUGCCGCGUGUGUGAAGAAGGCCUUCGGGUUGUAAUGCACUUUCAGUGGGGAAGAAAGCCUUGGGGCUAAUACCCUCGAGGAAGGACAUCACCCACAGAAGAAGCACCGGCUAACUCCGUGCCAGCAGCCGCGGUAAUACGGAGGGUGCGAGCGUUAAUCGGAAUUACUGGGCGUAAAGCGCGCGUAGGCGGUCUGAUAAGCCGGUUGUGAAAGCCCCGGGCUCAACCUGGGAACGGCAUCCGGAACUGUCAGGCUAGAGUGCAGGAGAGGAAGGUAGAAUUCCCGGUGUAGCAGUGAAAUGCGUAGAGAUCGGGAGGAAUACCAGUGGCGAAGGCGGCCUUCUGGACUGACACUGACGCUGAGGUGCGAAAGCGUGGGUAGCAAACAGGAUUAGAUACCCGUGUAGUC
rnacentral:rRNA from 1 species